rnacentral:misc_RNA from 1 species
AAGUCGUAACAAGGUCUCCGUUGGUGAACCAGCGGAGGGAUCAUUAAAGAGUUGCAAAACUCCCACAAACCAUCGCGAACGUUACCCGACGUCGUUGCUUCGGCGGGCUCGCCCGCCGGGGGGACGCUACCAAGAACUCUUGCAGUCAUUGGCCUCUCUGAGUACGAUUUUUAAAUAAGUCAAAACUUUCAACAACGGAUCUCUUGGUUCUG